UACGAAGGGUGCAAACGUUGCUCGGAAUUAUUGGGCGUAAAGCGCACGUAGGCGGCUUUGCAAGUCGGAUGUGAAAUCCCUCGGCUUAACCGAGGAAGUGCAUCCGAAACUGCAGAGCUUGAGUACUUAAGAGGAUCGCGGAAUUCCCGGUGUAGAGGUGAAAUUCGUAGAUAUCGGGAGGAACACCAGUGGCGAAGGCGGCGAUCUGGGAAGAUACUGACGCUGAGGUGCGAAAGCGUGGGGAGCAAACAGG
rnacentral:rRNA from 2 species